rnacentral:rRNA from 1 species
GRGUGAGUKUACCUUUYGAAUAAGCRCCGGCUAACUACGUGCCAGCAGCCGCGGUAAUACGUAGGGYGCAAGCGUUAUCCGGAWUUAUUGGGCGUAAAGGGCUCGUAGGCGGYUCGUCGCGUCCGGUGUGAAAGUCCAUCGCUUAACGGUGGAUCYGCGCCGGGUACGG